GAAGAGCACUCCCUGCUUCUAGUGAGCAAAGGCAGCCCCCCUUGAGCUUCUAUAGCCCUUCUUAUUUAUUGGGUAACAAGAGCAAGGAGGAGGAGAUGGAGUCUCACUCUGUCCCAGGCUGGAGUGCAAUGGUGUGUCCUCGGCUCACUGCAAGCUCCACCUCCUGGGUUCAAGGGAUUCUCCUGCCUCAGCCUUUCCAGUAGCUGGGAUUACAGGUGCAUGCUACCACACCCAGCUGAUGUUUGUAUUUUUAGUAGAGACAGAGUUUCACCAUGUUGGCCAGGCUUGUCUCAAACUUCUGACCUCAUGAUCUGAUGGCCUUGGCCUCCCGAAGUGCUGGGAUUACAGGUGUGAGCCACCGAUCCCAGUCACGUUUUUAGGAUUUCUAAAAUAGAAAGAAAAAAACAGAAAGGCAAGAGAGAAUUCAUGAUUCUCUGAGCAAGAGUUCUGCAAGGAGAUUGGAAGAAAAUGUGAGGACUGAGCCCAUAAGAAUAUUUUUCUUUCUGUUUUUAUCAGGGGGCAUUUUGACUAUCAGCAUUUUUAUUUACUUGCUCUGGCUUUGGCAUGAUUUGCUAUUGGAGAGAUAUAACAGUAUUGUUUUUCUUCUGAUGGAGACAAAAUAUUCAUUUAUAAUCCUGCCGCCCUGCCGCACCCCGCCCCCUUCUGCCACCACCAAGUGAUCAUCCAGCUGACACUUGAGGAACUUUGAUGAUGAGGAGUUCAUCAGUCAUUGGUCAGACUAUUAAAUCUUUCCACAGCUUAGUGAGUUUAUUAUAGUUUUCUUGAUGCAUAAUUCUGCCUGCUACAGAGAUAGAAUUACUUAAGGAUGUUUGAAAUACAGGUAUACCUCAGAGAUACUGCAGGUUUGGUUCCAGACCACCAU
rnacentral:lncRNA from 1 species